ACCAAGAUCAAGACAGCACCGGCAUUCUUUGGGAAAUGGGGCAACCACUGUCUUUCAAUUUCUUCUUAAAGUUACGUGAUCUCUACCCUCUUUUUCAUUUGCUAAACCAGGAAGAUCACAUCAGCUAGGCUGGGCAAGAUUCCCAAGUCACUCAGCUCCCAGAAGCAGAAUCCAGUCCCUGCCCACAUUGAGUCUCUACCCAACGCUGCUCGCCUGCACUGCCUCUGAGCGCGCUGUGGCCCCAGACUUUCUCUUCUCUGCUUUUCCACUGUGUGACGUGGUCACGAAGGAUUCCAGCAUCUCUCAGCAGCCGGGUCCCCACCCAGCCUGGCAAGGCUGCCCCAUUCUGCGUGCUGGGGAGGAAACUAAGGAAGCCCUGCUAAGCCCUCAUGGAUCAAGUCCCCAGCUUCUGAGGAUGCAGAGGAGUAAGAACCUCGGUAUGGGGAUCUGAUAUUGGCUGCACCAUCUGCCUGGGCCACUCUAUACACCCCACUGCUAUGGCAGAGAGCAGCCCUGGCUAUGUCUAAAGAAUGGCAUGGACCAGUCACCAUGGUGUCAAAGGCUUCAGUUUCACCUGUCAGUAUGGCAACAGGGGCAGGAGACAUCACUACGGCAAACCAGAGGUGACUGUGUCCUCUGCCACCCUUGUGAAGGAGCGUCUGCCUGAGGCCUGGCUCACUUGGAG